GGAAGGAUCAUUAACACAAAAAACAUCCAAACAUUCACAACAUUAGUUGUCUGUUUACAUGUUAGGCCGCCGUCUUUUGAUGUGCGCAAAAAACCAAGAGUUCAUCGUAGCUAGCUACUUUGUUCUCUUUGGGCCUACAUGCUUUUCAUUUUAUAUGAACUUAUGAUGUUUAAACCUCAACUAUGAGGGGAUAACUUCUAAUCAUAUAAAAAAUAAAAACUAAGAAAAUUUUCAACGAUGGAUAUCUUGGUUCCCAUAACGAUGAAGAGCGCAGCAAAGUGCGAUAAGCAAUGCGAAUUGCAGAAUUCCGCGAAUCAUCAGAUCCUUGAACGCAACUGGCGCUAAGAGGCUCUCCUCUUAGCAUGUCUGUUUCAGUGUCUGAAAACAUCACAAUCUAACUUAAUGUAGUUGAUGACGAAAAGAAGAGGUUUUCCUCCCUUUCUCGAAAUCUUCUAUUAAAGAUGUACAUGUGGGUCUUUGGACCCCUCAUCGAAUUGGUCACUGUCUCCUCAGUGAUUUCGAUAGGGGGAAAAAAAUUCAAUUACCUAAAUGCAUGUAGAUUUACUCUAACUUCAAACUCUGCAUCUGAAAUCAGGCAAGAACACCCGCUGAACUUAAGCAUAUUACUAAGCGGAGGAAAAGAAAUCAACGAAGAUUGCCUCAGUAGCGGCGAGUGAAGCGGCAAUAGCUCAAGUUUAGAAUCUGUGAUCGUCUCGGUCACCGAAUUGUAAUCUAAAGGGGCUAACAAAAGGGGAUGUGGAAGCAUAAGUUCCUUGGAAAAGGACGUCAAAGAGGGUGAAAACCCCGUAUGUAGCUUCUGCUGAACCGAAUGUUGACCUUCUGAGAGUCGGGUUGUUUGGGAUUGCAGCCCUAAAUGGGAGAUAAACUUCUUCUAAGGCUAAAUAUUUAUGGGAAACCGAUAGCGAACAAGUACUGUGAAGGAAAGGUGAAAAGAACUUUGAAAAGAGGGUUAAAAGACUUGAAAUCGUUGAGAAGGAAGCAGUAGAAGUGGAUUUAAGUUAGUUAUGAAGCAAGCUAUGUAAGGAACCAGCUCGUAGUAGUUUCGGUACGUCAUUGGCUACCUGCUACGAUGUAAUGGCACUUUAUGGCGAUUUCAUAACUAAAGGGCAGAACCAGGUCUAUUUCUUGUUGGAAUCAGUAAGGGUGAAGUCCGUAGUUUACUACGAGCAUCUUUAUAAAACAACAAGGUGGCCUGAGGAAACUAGGUUCUGCCACAACGGCUUCUACUGACCCGUCUUGAAACACGGACCAAGGAGUCUAUCACAUAUGCGAGUUUGCGAGUGCAAAAACUCAUAGGCUUAAUGAAAGUAAGUAUAAGGUGCCAAGGUGUGAGAUACGUCUCGUGCCUGCAGCAUCGACCGACCAUGAUCUUCUGUGAAAGGUUCGAGUAAGAGCAUAUUUGAUAGGACCCGAAAGAUGGUGAACUAUGCUUGAGUAGGGUGAAGCCAGGGGAAACUCUGGUGGAGGCUCGUAGCGAUACUGACGUGCAAAUCGUUCGUCAAACUUGAGUAUAGGGGCGAAAGACUAAUCGAACCAUCUAGUAGCUGGUUCCCUC
rnacentral:misc_RNA from 1 species